rnacentral:rRNA from 1 species
UACAGAGGGUGCUAGCGUUGUUCGGAAUCAUUGGGCGUAAAGGGCGUGUAGGCGGUUUGUUAAGUCAUGUGUGAAAUCCCUCGGCUCAACCGGGGAACGACGCAUGAAACUGGCAAGCUAGAGUACCAAAGAGGGGGGUGGAAUUCCUGGUGUAGCGGUGAAAUGCGCAGAUAUCAGGAGGAACACCGAUGGCGAAGGCAGGUCUCUGGGCAUUAACUGACGCUGAGGAGCGAAAGCAUGGGGAGCGAACAGG